UUUUUGAUAAUAAUUUAAAGUAGGGCCUGCCCACUGAAGAUUUAAAGGGCCGCAGUAUUUUGACUGUGCAAAGGUAGCAUAAUCAUUAGUUUUUUAAUUGAAAGCUUGUAUGAAUGGUUUGAUGAAAAAAUAACUUUCUAUAUUUAAAUUUUAAAGAAUUUUAUUUUUAAGUUAAAAAGCUUAAAUUUUUUUAAUAGACGAGAAGACCCUAUAGAGUUUUAUUAUAAAAUUUAUUUAAAUUUUUAGAAUUUAUUAAUUUUAAUUUUUGUUAUAAUUUGAUUGGGGUGAUUAAAAAAUUUAAUGAACUUUUUUUAUUUAAUUACAUAGAUUUAUGAAUUAUUGAUCCAUUAAAAUGAUUAAAAGAAUAAAUUACCUUAGGGAUAACAGCGUAAUUUUUUUUUAGAGUUCAAAUCGAAAAAAGAGAUUGCGACCUCGAUGUUGGAUUAAAAUUAAUUUUAGGUGUAGAAGCUUAAAAAUUUGGUCUGUUCGACCAUUAAAAUUUUACA
rnacentral:rRNA from 1 species